rnacentral:rRNA from 1 species
UACGAGGGGUGCAAGCGUUGCUCGGAAUUAUUGGGCGUAAAGGGUAGGUAGGUGGUCUCGUUUGUCUGGGGUGAAAUCCUAGGGCUUAACCCUGGGCUUGCAGUGGAUACGGGCAGACUAGAGGUAGGUAGGGGAGAAUGGAAUUCCUGGUGUAGCGGUGAAAUGCGCAGAUAUCAGGAGGAACACCGGUGGCGAAGGCGGUUCUCUGGGCCUUACCUGACACUGAGGAGCGAAAGCGUGGGGAGCAAACAGG